rnacentral:lncRNA from 1 species
CAACAUGGAGGAGCACGGGGGUCGCAGGUACAAAAGGACUAUUUUGAAAAUUAUUAGGGGGUUUAAUGAAAAAUAUUGGAUCGCGAUUAUUAAAUCGCGAUCCAAUUUAGAGGGUUAUAUGCAAAUAUUUGGAUCGCGAUUAUUGAUCGCGAUCCAAAUUAGGGAGGUUUAUGUAAAAUUUUGGAUGCGAUUCAAUUUAGGGGGGUUUGCGUAAAUUUUCUUAACAGUCCGGAGCAAGCUUAAUGGCGACUUCGGGCGGCGCCGCCGCCGGGAAUCCGGCGUCGGCGGCGCCGAAACCACCCCAGCUCCCCACUUCGACGAUGGGGGACCACCAGAUCUACUAGUCCCCCGCCUUUUCCCCCGUCGCUCCGCCACCGUUCCCUCGCCGCGGCGGGCAGCUGGCACCCGCUCUUGCUCAGGCCGUGCUCACCCCUACGCCGGCGGCGACCAACCACCGGCAGGCGGCAUCGAUUCCUCUGCUCCCACUACGGAAAAGCCUGAAUGAGAGGGAGACGACGACGGAUGGAUCUCCAGAUUGUUUUUCCUCUUGUUUUUUUAACAAAAUUAUUCAGUUAUCCAUCAAGAACAAACGAACUCGUAUUUCCAGUGAUCAGGGAAC